CCUACGGGAGGCAGCAGUGGGGAAUUUUGGACAAUGGGCGGAAGCCUGAUCCAGCCAUGCCGCGUGAGUGAAGAAGGCCUUCGGGUUGUAAAGCUCUUUCGCAAGGAAAGAAAACUUAUCUACUAAUACUAGAUGAGGAUGACGGUACCUUGAUAAGAAGCACCGGCUAACUACGUGCCAGCAGCCGCGGUAAUACGUAGGGUGCGAGCGUUAAUCGGAAUUACUGGGCGUAAAGCGAGCGCAGGCGGUUUUGUAAGUCAGAUGUGAAAGCCCCGGGUUCAACCUGGGAACUGCGUUUGAAACUACAAGGCUAGAGUAUGGGAGAGGGAGGUAGAAUUCCACGUGUAGCAGUGAAAUGCGUAGAGAUGUGGAGGAAUACCAAUGGCGAAGGCAGCCUCCUGGCCUAAUACUGACGCUCAUGCUCGAAAGCGUGGGGAGCAAACAGGAUUAGAUACCCUGGUAGUCCACGCCCUAAACGAUGUCAACUAGUUAUUGGUGGAGUAAAAUCCAUUAGUAACGCAGCUAACGCGUGAAGUUGACCGCCUGGGGAGUACGGUCGCAAGAUUAAAACUCAAAGGAAUUGACGG
rnacentral:rRNA from 1 species